rnacentral:rRNA from 1 species
AACUUGUGAAUGUUGACCUCGGAUCAGGUAGGAAUACCCGCUGAACUUAAGCAUAUCAAUAAGCGGAGGA